GGGCCCGUAGCUCAGCGGUUAGAGCACCCGGCUCAUAACCGGGCGGUCCUAGGUUCGAAUCCUAGCGGGCCCACCA
rnacentral:tRNA from 1 species